AGAGUUUGAUCCUGGCUCAGGACGAACGCUGGCGGCGCGCUUAACACAUGCAAGUCGAGCGAGAACCGGACCUUCGGGUCCGGGGACAGCGGCGAACGGGUGAGUAACACGUGAGUAAUCCACCCUUGGCACCGGAAUAGCCCGGGGAAACUCGGAUUAAUGCCGGAUGGCCCGACAGCCUCUCGGGGCGGUCGGAAAAGAUAGCUUCGGCCUUCGGCCAAGGACGAGCUCGCGGCGGAUUAGCUUGUUGGCGGGGUAACGGCCCACCAAGGCGACGAUCCGUAGCUGGUCUGAGAGGACGAUCAGCCACACUGGGACUGAGACACGGCCCAGACUCCUACGGGAGGCAGCAGUGGGGAAUCUUGCGCAAUGGGCGAAAGCCUGACGCAGCGACGCCGCGUGAGGGAAGAAGGCCUUCGGGUUGUAAACCUCUUUCAGGAGGGACGAAGCCACUCGGGUGAAUAGCCCAGAGGGUGACGGUACCUCCAGAAGAAGCCCCGGCUAACUACGUGCCAGCAGCCGCGGUAAUACGUAGGGGGCAAGCGUUGUCCGGAUUUAUUGGGCGUAAAGAGCGUGUAGGCGGCUUUACAGGUCCGCUGUGAAAACUCGAGGCUCAACCUCGAGCUGUCGGUGGAAACCGUAAAGCUAGAGUCCGGAGGAGGAGAGUGGAAUUCCCGGUGUAGCGGUGAAAUGCGCAGAUAUCGGGAAGAACACCCGUGGCGAAGGCGGCUCUCUGGGACGGUACUGACGCUGAGACGCGAAAGCGUGGGGAGCGAACAGGAUUAGAUACCCUGGUAGUCCACGCCGUAAACGAUGGGUGCUAGGUGUGGGAGGUGUCGACUCCUUCCGUGCCGAAGCUAACGCAUUAAGCACCCCGCCUGGGGAGUACGGCCGCAAGGCUAAACUCAAAGGAAUUGACGGGGGCCCGCCAAGCAGCGGAGCAUGUGGUUUAUUCGACGCACGCGAAAACCUUACCAGGCUUGACUGCCU
rnacentral:rRNA from 1 species